UACGUAGGGGGCAAGCGUUGUCCGGAAUCAUUGGGCGUAAAGCGCGUGUAGGCGGCCCGGUAAGUCCGCUGUGAAAGUCGGGGGCUCAACCCUCGAAUGCCGGUGGAUACUGUCGGGCUAGAGUGCGGAAGAGGCGAGUGGAAUUCCUGGUGUAGCGGUGAAAUGCGCAGAUAUCAGGAGGAACACCGGUGGCGAAGGCGGGUCUCUGGGCCGAUACUGACGCUGGAGGAGCGAAAGCGUGGGGAGCGAACAGG
rnacentral:rRNA from 1 species